rnacentral:rRNA from 1 species
CUUGCUUCUCUUGAGAGCGGCGGACGGGUGAGUAAUGCCUAGGAAUCUGCCUGGUAGUGGGGGAUAACGUCCGGAAACGGACGCUAAUACCGCAUACGUCCUACGGGAGAAAGCAGGGGACCUUCGGGCCUUGCGCUAUCAGAUGAGCCUAGGUCGGAUUAGCUAGUUGGUGGGGUAAUGGCUCACCAAGGCGACGAUCCGUAACUGGUCUGAGAGGAUGAUCAGUCACACUGGAACUGAGACACGGUCCAGACUCCUACGGGAGGCAGCAGUGGGGAAUAUUGGACAAUGGGCGAAAGCCUGAUCCAGCCAUGCCGCGUGUGUGAAGAAGGUCUUCGGAUUGUAAAGCACUUUAAGUUGGGAGGAAGGGCAGUAAAUUAAUACUUUGCUGUUUUGACGUCCCCGACAGAAUAAGCACCGGCUAACUCUGUGCCAGCAGCCGCGGUAAUACAGAGGGUGCAAGCGUUAAUCGGAAUUACUGGGCGUAAAGCGCGCGUAGGUGGUUCGUUAAGUUGGAUGUGAAAUCCCCGGGCUCAACCUGGGAACUGCAUUCAAAACUGACGAGCUAGAGUAUGGUAGAGGGUGGUGGAAUUUCCUGUGUAGCGGUGAAAUGCGUAGAUAUAGGAAGGAACACCAGUGGCGAAAGCGACCACCUGGACUGAUACUGACACUGAGGUGCGAAAGCGUGGGGAGCAAACAGGAUUAGAUACC